rnacentral:lncRNA from 1 species
GGUUGGUUUUCCUGUUUGAAUGGUUUUACACUAGUAAUUUUGGGGCCCUUUAUAGCUUUUUGUUCGGUGUGAGCCAAGGCUCCGUGUUGAAGGCCGUACAUUGACCUAUAAUUGUUUACUUUUAUAAAUUGUUAUUUGGAUGGAGAGUUGUCUCAUUGGCAUUCACACAACAUCUUCCUAUAUCUAUUAAAAAAUUUUAAUUUACCCAUUAUGAUCCAAUAUCCAAAAAUGG